GAGGCCCUAGUAAAAACAUAUUACACUACCUUGUCAAGGCAUAAUUGCAGGUUAGAAUCCUGCGGGUCUUA
rnacentral:tRNA from 1 species